GGCAGAGGGAAGGUCAUCAGUGGGGCUUCAAGCUGAGUGCCUUGCAUCACUCUACCCAUGUCACCUGGGAAGGUCUGAGACUAGAGCCAAAAGUGGCCCUAACAGGGUCCUCCCUGGGCUUCAGAGAAUGGGGCUCCCACACUCAUGACUAUAUCCUCAAAAAAGAGAAAAAAAAUAAGGUGAGAACCUUGAAAUCCUUCAGGAUGCUCUUCUAAUGCU
rnacentral:RNase_P_RNA from 4 species